rnacentral:lncRNA from 1 species
UCGCAUUCCACUCUUGAAGCGCUCAAACGUCCUCCUUCUUUUGUACAACUUUAUGGGACGCUUCUUAUGAACCGUAACUCGGAGAAAUGAAAUCUUGCUUUACCACAGGAUGACUUCGUCGGAGAAGGUUGACAGGUUCAAGAGAUACCACGACUUCGCUAUUUUUAAGCUUCCUUACCCUGGCUGUGAGUUCUUCGAAAAGUACGUUAAGCAGCACUACAAUCCCGAAGGCCUUUUUUACGACUGGACACAGCAUUUUGUUGACGUCGAGUUGGAAGUGCCCCAAACAAGUGUCGCCUC